CUUUACUGUAGCUUUGCAUUGGACUUUGACGGGACUUGUGUAGGAUAGGUGGGAGGCUGUGAAGCAGGGACGCCAGUUCUUGUGGAGCCACCCUUGAAAUACCACCCUGGUGUCGUUGGGGUUCUAACCUGGACCCCUUAUCGGGGUCGGGGACCGUGCAUGGUAGGCAGUUUGACUGGGGCGGUCUCCUCCCAAAAGGUAACGGAGGAGCACGAAGGUUGGCUAGACACGGUCGGAAAUCGUGUUGAUAGUGCAAGGGCAUAAGCCAGCUUAACUGCGAGACCCACAAGUCGAGCAGAUGCGAAAGCAGGUCCUAGUGAUCCGGUGGUUCUGUAUGGAAGGGCCAUCGCUCAACGGAUAAAAGGUA
rnacentral:rRNA from 1 species